CCGGCAAGGACGACGUUGGGGGCCACGUACGCAUCGACGGCUAUCGUGGGGACCCACUGCCCCAGGGGAAUGAUCCGCCGCUGCCCCCUGUAGUCCCACUUCACGCGAUCCGACGCCGUCUGCGGCGGAGGCGCCACCGCCGCCGCCGCCGCCGCGGUGGCGUCGGCGGAGAGAAGGCGGUGGAGCGGGAUAAGGCGGGGUCGAACGGCUAGGGUUCUUCGCGAGAGACGAGCGAGAGCUGCCGCCAUUUCCAGGUCGUUCCACCGCAAGAGAGGACAGAGAGGAGCGGAGAGGGGGG
rnacentral:lncRNA from 1 species